GACGAACGCUGGCGGCGUGCCUAAUACAUGCAAGUCGAGCGAGCUUGCCUAGAUGAGUUUGGUGCUUGCACCAAAUGAAACUAGAUACAAGCGAGCGGCGGACGGGUGAGUAACACGUGGGUAACCUGCCCAAGAGACUGGGAUAACACCUGGAAACAGAUGCUAAUACCGGAUAACAACACUAGACGCAUGUCUAGAGUUUAAAAGAUGGUUCUGCUAUCACUCUUGGAUGGACCUGCGGUGCAUUAGCUAGUUGGUAAGGUGACGGCUUACCAAGGCAAUGAUGCAUAGCCGAGUUGAGAGACUGAUCGGCCACAUUGGGACUGAGACACGGCCCAAACUCCUACGGGAGGCAGCAGUAGGGAAUCUUCCACAAUGGACGCAAGUCUGAUGGAGCAACGCCGCGUGAGUGAAGAAGGGUUUCGGCUCGUAAAGCUCUGUUGGUAGUGAAGAAAGAUAGAGGUAGUAACUGGCCUUUAUUUGACGGUAAUUACUUAGAAAGUCACGGCUAACUACGUGCCAGCAGCCGCGGUAAUACGUAGGUGGCAAGCGUUGUCCGGAUUUAUUGGGCGUAAAGCGAGUGCAGGCGGUUCAAUAAGUCUGAUGUGAAAGCCUUCGGCUCAACCGGAGAAUUGCAUCAGAAACUGUUGAACUUGAGUGCAGAAGAGGAGAGUGGAACUCCAUGUGUAGCGGUGGAAUGCGUAGAUAUAUGGAAGAACACCAGUGGCGAAGGCGGCUCUCUGGUCUGCAACUGACGCUGAGGCUCGAAAGCAUGGGUAGCGAACAGG
rnacentral:rRNA from 1 species